CCAAGAAGGGUCACCUUCACCUCAAGGUUCUACUUUUUUCUUUCUUCCAGAAUUGUGACUCAAGGUACAGUUUUACCUUGUGAAAUGGGAAUAACCAAAUGGAAGCUGGGUGGGCCCAGAAUCCAAGGAGUUUGGGUCUGGGUAAUCCUGUCAUCCUGCAGUGAUGGAGAUUUUGCUCUCAUUGAGUCUGUGUCUGGAUUAUUUCUGGUUCAUGGACAAUCUCAUUUAUUUCUGUCUUCAUAAUCAUCUGGACCUCUUUCCUGCUGCUUCACAGUGCAAGCACAGAAAAACGUUUGAAAGGAAAAUGAGAUGAAAUGCCUUCCUGC
rnacentral:lncRNA from 1 species